rnacentral:misc_RNA from 1 species
UCCGGUUUAUCACCGGCAGUCCCUGCAGAGUCCUCGGCUUUUCCCGUGAUGUCAAACCCAGGUAAGGUUCUUCGGGUUGCAUCGAAUUAAGCCGCAUGCUCCGCCGCUUGUGCGGGGACCCGUCAAUUCCUUUGAGUUUUAGCCUUGCGGCCGUACUCCCCAGGCGGGAUACUUAAUGCGUUAGCUUCGGCACGGCAGUCGUUGGUAAGACCGCCACACCUAGUAUCCAACGUUUACGGCGUGGACUAC